rnacentral:rRNA from 1 species
UACGGAGGGAGCUAGCGUUGUUCGGAAUUACUGGGCGUAAAGCGCGCGUAGGCGGAUUUGUAAGUUAGGGGUGAAAGCCCGGGGCUCAACCCCGGAACUGCCUUUAAAACUGCAUCGCUUGAAUCCGGGAGAGGUGAGUGGAAUUCCGAGUGUAGAGGUGAAAUUCGUAGAUAUUCGGAAGAACACCAGUGGCGAAGGCGGCUCACUGGACCGGCAUUGACGCUGAGGUGCGAAAAGCGUGGGGAGCAAACAGG